GGAUCAAUGGACCGGUCAUGCCCAUUAGGUAUGUACUGAUCUCAUUGGUUCUCACCUUCUAAGGAACCAUAAUGUCAUUCAUUUGAUGUUAUGGGAAAUUAGGACUGUUACCUUGAAAAAAUUAGAGUGUUUAAAGCAGGCUUACGCUUGAAUACAUUAGCAUGGAAUAAUAGAAUAGGA
rnacentral:rRNA from 1 species